rnacentral:rRNA from 1 species
CUACGGGCGGCAGCAGUGGGGAAUCUUAGACAAUGGGGGAAACCCUGAUCUAGCCAUGCCGCGUGAGCGACGACGGCCCUAGGGUUGUAAAGCUCUUUCAGCAGGGAAGAUAAUGACGGUACCUGCAGAAGAAGUCCCGGCUAACUCCGUGGCCAGCAGCCGCGGUAAUACGGAGGGGACUAGCGUUGUUCGGAAUUACUGGGCGUAAAGCGCGCGUAGGCGGAUUGUUAAGUCGGGGGUGAAAUCCCGGGGCUCAACCCCGGAACUGCCCUCGAUACUGGCAGUCUUGAGUUCGAGAGAGGUGAGUGGAAUUCCGAGUGUAGAGGUGAAAUUCGUAGAUAUUCGGAGGAACACCAGUGGCGAAGGCGGCUCACCGGCUCGAUACUGACGCUGAGGUGCGAAAGCGUGGGGAGCAAACAGGAUUAGAUACCCGGGUAGUC